UUUGGUGGCGAUGGCGGAGGGGAACCACGCGUACCCAUCCCGAACACGACCGUUAAGCCCUUCAGCGCCGAUGGUACUUGGACCGCAGGGUCCUGGGAGAGUAGGACGUUGCCAAGC
rnacentral:rRNA from 1 species